CCCGUCUCCUGGCAUCCCGCCCUCCACAGAUGGGUCAAGACGGUGCCUUUCCAUUGGGCAGCUUCCACUCGUUUCCCAUUGGCCAAGUCCGAGUGGGACCCGAAAACAAGCACUGCCCGUUCGUGUCCCAAAUCAUACAUUUGCGAAGAUUUUCGGCACCGAGAUUCUGCCAUCCACCCACCCUGGAACGAGAUAGGAACUAAAGCCAAGCAGAACCAAACGAGUUCGAUACACAUCGCCCAUCUUGGUCAACCGGUUUCUCCCGGAAUUGAAGAGGAGGGCGAAGGGGCCGGACUUUCCAAACAACUGGAUACGGAGAAAGGACGCGUGAUGCAUCGGCUGCUCCUGUCCCCGCCUUAAUCGCCGCCAUAGUCCUGGUCUUGCGCACACUAAAUGGACUGGCCCCAGAGGUAUACACCACGGCGUGCGCCGGCCUUGUCACCCUCCCACAAACAACCUGCGGUGUAUCCCAGUAGAUUGAAGCCCAUUCAGAACUGCUUUCAAGAUGGCUGCUUUUAGGUCCGGGUGGAGGGAAGCGUGAUUGCAAUGCUAGAGGCUGUGGCCUCUUAUAGAGGGCUUGCAAACGUCCAGAAUUAAUCACCGAAGCAUGUGUGUCUUCCUCAGACUUCUGUAAAAGGCUGAAAAAAUAUGUUGUUGCUUUAAUAAUUCUAUCUUGGAAAAGAUUGCCUUAAAGUGAUAGCAUCAGCUGCCAUCUUAUGUUUGCUUGUAGUUCACUACAUUAUGGUCAGAAACUGCAAUGAACUGUGGAGAUGGAGGAAGGCAAGAGGGAAAAUGAAAGUUUAAAUGGUGGCAGGUCUGACAGAUGAAGACAGCCAAAUGUUCUGUUCUUGAUUGGUGUGCUGUGAAACAUCAUCUGAAGAUCAAAUUCAAAGUACUAUUCAGUAGUAGUUGAUUGCCAUAAGGUAGCUUUUAGGUAAAACACACAUACCUAAGAGUUUUUACCAAAAACACUUUAGGCAAAAUUUAGAAUUUUAAUGCAUUUUUACUGCAUUAUUAUUUUGUUAGCAUUUUUUUUCAAGGCAAACAAAUUUUUCAAGAUGAGUAACACUUUUUGGUCAGAAGCAUAUAAUCUGCCUUAAGAAAACCCUGUUUCUUAAAUCAUCAGUUCAGAAUUUAAAAGUGUUUCAUUUGCUUACUCCAUAAAUGUUGGAGUGAAUAAAUAAGAGUGCAUCAUUCUGAAAUUUCUUACUCAUAAAUAAUUAAGACUAUAAUAAAGCUGCUUUGUCUUUGAUCUCAUUCAGUGAGUAUGAGUCUUACCAAUAGUUGCUGCAUCCUAGAACAUGAUUAUUUGGUGACAAUAGUUCUCUGCCGGUGUUCUUUAAAAGAACACAAAGAAAGCAAAUGGAAUGCCUGUUUUGAUUCUAACUAAUUCUAAGCAGUCUACAAGGAAAUUAACUUUUAACUAUGGUUGAUAUCCUUGCAGUUGCUACAUUUUUAACAGGGUAGUCUGCUACUCAACAAUAUUGUAGUCACCAUGUCUUUUUUUUGUUGACUUAGGUUAUCCUAAUGUCUAUACACGUUUUCUUUUUCAGGCUUAUAACCUGGGUUAAUAAACCCCAAGUACUAUAUUACUAUAACAAGAUAUGUCCAAAAUAAAUAAAACAUAUGAUAACUUUAACAUGAUAGUCUCAUGUAACUAAAAUAGCUGAAUUUUUGUAACAUAUUGACCUACAAAUUAUUCUAACCGUAUUUUACUUUAGGAUGUUGUACAUAUGAACAAGAAAUGAGCAUGUAGAAACAUCAUCAAAUUCUGAAUUUUUCUUGUAAGCGAUCUUGCUUAAUUGUAGAAAAUGUUUGUGUUUUGUGAAUAAGGUUUCACACAUAACGUACUGCAUUUUUCAUUAAAAAAAUUGUAAGAACUGUCAAGUUCCUUUGAUGGCAAAGUUGCCAAAGGAUAACUUUGUAAGGCAAUUAAACAAACAGAACUCUAGCAGAGGAAAAUAGGCAAGUGGCACUCUUCCAAGAAAAGAAAGAAUAAGAGAGCUUACCGUGUCCUUUGUCUUCAUUAUCUUUUUGCUCACACAGUGGACAACAGGAAAAUGGUUGCAGGCUCUCUAACGUGUGAACUGUUAAUGAAAGAAUUCCUUGGUAGUAACAAUCAUGCAAACAGCCAAAGUCAGAAAGACUAUCUAUGAAAUGAAAAAUCUUUAUAUAGAUUGACUGUGAAUAAAUUAUGUGGGGCUUAGUAAAACUUGCUUCUGAAUAAAUAUCUACAAGAUGGCACUGUCUAUAAACCCUGGCAUAUAAUUUUACUCCAUGGAAAAUACAUUGAGUCUAAUUAAACAAAUCUCACUUACUUACUCUGUCUGUCUUUUGAUAUAUUUACAGGCCAUAGAUUAUUCAUAAACAUUCUGCACAUUAUGAUUCUUUGGCUUACAGCAGCUACAACAAACUCAACACUGGAAUUCUUGCAAGAGCCACAUCACAAAACUGAUUUGCCUUAAAUAACAAGGCAAUUAUAUUUCACAAAAUAAAUAUAUUUUUAAAUUUUGUUUGCCUACUUAUAAGCAUUUCAAAUUGUAUUAUUUUCAAAAAUUGUGUUUCAAUUCAAAUAUUUGCCAACAUUCCUAAUUUUACAAUGAAGAGACUUUUGAGAAAAGACCUGAUCAUUUUGUUAGAGUGCAUUUAUUACAGAACAAUAAUCAGAAUCCUCAUAUUAA